UUACAUAUUGCAAUCAUGCUUUCAAAUAACACUACAAUUUUUUUCCGUCAAUUCUUUUCUUUUGAUCAGUUCUCGAUUAUAAACGAAUAUUUUUUCAUAUAAUCUAACCUAACUUUAUGCAAUCGAUUACACAAUCUCACGAUGACACGAAAUCGAUACAAGAUAGUUUCGUGCCAUUGGAAGAUUGCAUAGCAUUGUCGAUUUUCGUUGUUGAGGAAUCGAAAUUCGCGAUUCAUUAUAGAUUAUAAAACUACGAAACAUCUCGACAUUUCUCAUACUUGAAAGCAAUGCUACGGUGCAACGAACAAUUACGUAACAUGGCAGCCAAGCAAGUGGAGUUGGCAAUCCUGUUCUCUUUUGAGACGCGCCCACCUUCUGUAUUUACAUAUAUUUACAUGUUAAUAUGUAGGGUGCAUCGGAUAGCGUUACCACCUCGAGCGAUUCAUUUCUUAGUCGUGUUAACAGAUCGAAAAGUGAUUCAAGAAAAUGCGAGAAGCUGAAGUCAUAUAGUAUGAAUGAAUCGUGAUAAUGUGAAUGUUAGUGUUUGUUAUGAUAUAUGUUCGAUCAUGUUCCCGUACAUGAGCGAGUAAGAAAAGUGUUUAAAAAUUUUUCUUUCUUUCUUUUACAUUCAAUUAUCGAUUAAUUAUCGUAUUAAUAUUUUAAUUGCGAAUUAUAGAUGAUAAAUUUUUGUUAUUAAUAGUUUAAUGUUAUACAAAUAGAUUAAAAGAAGUAGAUUAGUGAAAAAAUCUAAACUAACCUAUAUAAAAAAAUUUUUCAUUAGUUUUGUUAUAAAAUAAUAAUUAUAAAAAUCAAAUAUUCGACGUAUCGAAAAGAAUUUACAUUUUUAAAAAUAAAUAAUUAUUAAAUAGAAACCUAAAAUAGAUUUCAUAUUAAAGUCAUUCGGAAAAUGUGUGUAAACAUUCGAAGUAUAAUAAGCGAGGAGUGGGAGAAAGCUGAAUUCCGGCAGUUGUGCGUAGCAAGUCGUUCUGUUUAUAUCGAUUAUUGCGUCGCUUCGUUUCCUACGUAAAAGUAAGAUCCAUGUACCAUCGUUUCACAAAUUCCCCCAAACCUCGAAGGUAUUUAUUAAACGCUGGAUCGGAAACACUCGUCAUGUUCGACAAGAAAAGAUUUUCUAAUUCGAAGAAAAAAAAAAUCUACAAACUGUAUCCUUCUCACGGACACGCAUAAACUCCCACUCAGCAGCGACAAAGAAAUAAUG